rnacentral:lncRNA from 1 species
UCCUGAACACUGCUGUUUUGUUAACAAAUGGAUUGAUCAAGGAGGUGGGUUGAUCAUGUCCGUUCUCUCAUUGGAACCCAGCCAAAUGUUGUUAUAUACGACAUUAUUCUGGUAAACAUUAGAAGAAUUUAAAGUUUAUGCACAUGGAUAUCUAAAUCUCCAUUUUCAUUGAUCAAUCCGUCUACAGAGAGCUGGACAUUUCCCUUUGGAACAGAAAUAAUAGAAAAUAAACACCAAAUGAAAAUUCUUAGAACACUGGCAUUUCGGUGACAUCACACAUAUUUGGAUAAACACUACACAUGACGAUCGACAGAUAAGUACCAGAGGAUGAUAUGGAUCAAACAAGCAUCAUCAGAGUCUUCAACAUGCUAAAGCAGGCAACUAAACCAUUGACGCGAGAAAAAAAAAGGAAGGUAUGCACGGGCGCAGUUCUCGCCCAAACCGAAAAGACAGAUACCCUGAGAGAGAGGGCAGGAGCUCCGGGACACCGUGCUAAGAAACGAAGUCAGCCUCGCCGCGGUCACCGUGUUCUGCAGCAGCAACAAUGACAUUCCCGCGCAGCACCCCAGCUCCAGCGGCGCCCUGGACACCACAAACAUUUCACAGAUCAGGCACCUACAUGGAUAAGGCUAUCAACUGCAUCACCAUUUGUUUACGUGGAGAUGUACG